rnacentral:rRNA from 1 species
CGGAGGGUGCGAGCGUUGUCCGGAAUCAUUGGGCGUAAAGGGCGCGUAGGUGGCCCGGUCAGUCUUUGGUGAAAGCGCGGGGCUCAACCCUGCGUCGGCCAGGGAUACUGCCGCGGCUCGAGCACUGUAGAGGCAGGCGGAAUUCCGGGUGUAGCGGUGGAAUGCGUAGAGAUCCGGAAGAACACCGGUGGCGAAGGCGGCCUGCUGGGCAGUUUUGCUGACACUGAGGCGCGACAGCGUGGGAGCAAACAGGAUU